rnacentral:rRNA from 1 species
AUUGAACGCUGGCGGCAUGCCUUACACAUGCAAGUCGAACGGCAGCGGGCCCUUUGGGGUGCCGGCGAGUGGCGAACGGGUGAGUAAUGCAUCGGAACGUACCCGGGAGAGGGGGAUAACCGGCCGAAAGGCUGGCUAAUACCGCAUGAACUCGGAAGAGCAAAGCGGGGGACCUUCGGGCCUCGCGCUCUCGGAGCGGCCGAUGUCCGAUUAGGCUAGUUGGUGGGGUAAAGGCCCACCAAGGCGACGAUCGGUAGCGGGUCUGAGAGGACGAUCCGCCACACUGGGACUGAGACACGGCCCAGACUCCUACGGGAGGCAGCAGUGGGGAAUCUUGGACAAUGGGCGCAAGCCUGAUCCAGCAAUGCCGCGUGGGUGAAGAAGGCCUUCGGGUUGUAAAGCCCUUUCGGCGGGGAAGAAAUCGGUCAGGCGAAUAGUCUGGCCGGAUGACGGUACCCGCAGAAGAAGCACCGGCUAACUACGUG